UACAGAGGGUGCAAACGUUGUUCGGAAUCACUGGGCAUAAAGCGUAUGUAGGCGGCUCCGUAAGUGUCGGGUGAAAUCCCACGGCCUACCCGUGGAACUGUUCGGUAUACUGCGGAGCUAGAGGAUGGUAGAGGAGAGCGGAACUCUUGGUGGAGCGGUGAAAUGCGUAGAUAUCAAGAGGAACACCGGUGGCGAAGGCGGCUCUCUGGUCCAUUACUGACGCUGAGGUACGAAAGCUAGGGGAGCAAACGGG
rnacentral:rRNA from 1 species